CUAAAUCAAAUCCCAAACCCUUCCCUUAAGCAGAGUAGUGCAUCAUUUUUCUUAAUCUCAUCCCCACUUUCCCACUAAUAAAUUACUAGACUAAUUAUAUAAAUUAAUAAAGGGUGACUUCCCACUAAUCAAUGUACUAUUUUAAUUCAUUUUGUCUCCUCAACCCCAAGCCCAACAAAUAAAAAACCAAAUAUUUUACUAACUGUAUAUUAAAAU
rnacentral:lncRNA from 1 species